rnacentral:rRNA from 1 species
CUACGGGUGGCUCCAGUGGGGAAUAUUGCACAAUGGACGAAAGUCUGAUGCAGCAACGCCGCGUGGAGGAUGACACAUUUCGGUGCGUAAACUCCUUUUAUAUAAGAAGAUAAUGACGGUACUAUAUGAAUAAGCACCGGCUAACUCCGUGCCAGCAGCCGCGGUAAUACGGAGGGUGCAAGCGUUACUCGGAAUCACUGGGCGUAAAGAGCGUGUAGGCGGGUUAAUAAGUUGGAAGUGAAAUCCUAUGGCUCAACCAUAGAACUGCUUCCAAAACUGUUAACCUAGAAUAUGGGAGAGGUAGAUGGAAUUUCUGGUGUAGGGGUAAAAUCCGUAGAGAUCAGAAGGAAUACCGAUUGCGAAGGCGAUCUACUGGAACAUUAUUGACGCUGAGACGCGAAAGCGUGGGGAGCAAACAGGAUUAGAUACCCCAGUAGUC